rnacentral:rRNA from 1 species
UCAGACGAUGCGUCGUGCAUAUCAAUAAGCGGAGGAAAAGAAACUAACAAGGAUUCCCCUAGUAACGGCGAGUGAAGCGGGAAGAGCUCAAAUUUGAAAUCUUAAAGGGUUUCCCUUUACGAAUUGUAGUUUAAAGAAGUGUUUUCUGUUGAGGUUUUGGUAAAAGUUCUUUGGAAUAGGACAUCAUAGAGGGUGAGAAUCCCGUAUUUGACCUUUACUUUCAACUCUGUGAUACACUUUCAAAGAGUCGGAUUGUUUGGGAAUGCAGUCCAAAAUGGGUGGUAAAUUUCAUCUAAAGCUAAAUAUUGGCGAGAGACCGAUAGCGAACAAGUACCGUGAGGGAAAGAUGAAAAGAACUUUGAAAAGAGAGUUAAACAGUACGUGAAAUUGUCAAAAGGGAAGCGUUUGACACCAGUGUUGUUUUUCUGAAAAUCAAUUAAAGAACUGUUUAUGCUAAGUUGUUUAGACUUUAUCAGCUAACUGUUUAGUUUUGAGCUUUUCUUUAAUGCACUUUUCAGUUAACAAGUCAACAUCAAUUUCUUUUGCUGUAAAAAAGCUUGAGGAAGGUGGCUUGAGAUUCGUCUUAAGUGUUUAUAGCCUCUUGCCUAUGCAGUCGGAGAGAUUGAGGUCUGCAGCGUAGAUCCUUCGGGGCUAAAUGCAUUUGUGCUAAGUUAUAGCAUUUUAUAGACAACUUGUUGACUAUGAUUUGUCUUGUAGCUUACUCGCUUAUGUUAUUUUACCUACGCUUAGGAUGUUGAGCGCAUGUCUCUCUCU